AGUGAACGCUGGCGGUAGGCCUAACACAUGCAAGUCGAACGGCAGCACAGUAAGAGCUUGCUCUUACGGGUGGCGAGUGGCGGACGGGUGAGGAAUACAUCGGAAUCUACUUUUUCGUGGGGGAUAACGUAGGGAAACUUACGCUAAUACCGCAUACGACCUACGGGUGAAAGCAGGGGAUCUUCGGACCUUGCGCGAUUAAAUGAGCCGAUGUCGGAUUAGCUAGUUGGCGGGGUAAGGGCCCACCAAGGCGACGAUCCGUAGCUGGUCUGAGAGGAUGAUCAGCCACACUGGAACUGAGACACGGUCCAGACUCCUACGGGAGGCAGCAGUGGGGAAUAUUGGACAAUGGGCGCAAGCCUGAUCCAGCCAUACCGCGUGGGUGAAGAAGGCCUUCGGGUUGUAAAGCCCUUUUGUUGGGAAAGAAAAGCAGCAGGUUAAUACCCCGCUGUUCUGACGGUACCCAAAGAAUAAGCACCGGCUAACUUCGUG
rnacentral:rRNA from 1 species